GACGAACGCUGGCGGCGUGCCUAACACAUGCAAGUCGAGCGAGUGGAUCUCCUUCGGGAGUGAAGCUAGCGGCGGACGGGUGAGUAACACGUGGGCAACCUGCCUCAUAGAGGGGAAUAGCCCUUCGAAAGGAAGAUUAAUACCGCAUAAGAUUGUAGCUUCGCAUGAAGUAGCAAUUAAAGGAGCAAUCCGUUAUGAGAUGGGCCCGCGGCGCAUUAGCUAGUUGGUGAGGUAACGGCUCACCAAGGCGACGAUGCGUAGCCGACCUGAGAGGGUGAUCGGCCACAUUGGAACUGAGACACGGCCCAGACUCCUACGGGAGGCAGCAGUGGGGAAUAUUGCACAAUGGGGGAAACCCUGAUGCAGCAACGCCGCGUGAGUGAUGACGGCCUUCGGGUUGUACAGCUCUGUCUUCAGGGACGAUAAUGACGGUACCUGAGGAGGAAGCCACGGCUAACUACGUGCCAGCCGCCGCCGUAACAC
rnacentral:rRNA from 1 species